AGAAUAAAUGGACACAAAUCAGACGUCAAGAAUUAUAACAUUCAAAAACCAGUCGGAGAACACUUCAAUCUCCCGGGUCACAGAAAUGUUGUUUCUUUCGUAGCUUGCGUUCGGAGGGCCCUGGACCUCAAAUCGCCUGACGACCAAUUUUGGAUCGAGGCGAGAGGAACACAGGAUCGGACUGGAUCCAGAACCAGCAGUAGCUGGUGCCCUACAGUACCUGGAGUCCGAGUCUGCCUGUGCCAACCGGACUGGCUUCCAGCUGGGGCUUUAUCCACACCUUCUGGGUCCACCUGACAAUUAAGCGAGAAGGCCGGGAUGCAGCCCACAUUCACUGGACCUCAGUGGGUCGGAACACAAAACGAUUCUCACCCGAGUUUCACUGAGUGAGCCACGACCACCACGCUUCCACGAUCAGGACUGACCAGGUCCGUGGAUCUGAAAGCCAGACUCUAUGCUCAUCGGGCCUUUCGGCCAGGGUGAAGCGGCACACCUAAAUGGUGCCCGCUACUCUAAGCUUGGUCUUUCCAGUUGAAGAGAAGACAGCUCAGUCGCUAUCCCUUUCCUUCCCAAGGCCUAGGGACCUUUAUGUUCAAACCAAUCUGGGUAAAUAAUAAGGUAAGAAGUGGGCAAUUUAAAAGGGUUCCAAGGUGACUAAAGUGGCAGUUGGUAUUGCGAUUAAUGUGGCAACUAAUAACAGGAUUUUAAAGCUGGGUCCUGCCGCAUUGGUCACCAAAUCUAUUGUCCUCUUAAUUUGUAACAGCAGUUGAAAACUAAUAAAUCAGAGAUUGGUGUUCACACCCAGACGCAGUAUCUAUCACCUGUUAAAAAUCCUCAUUACCCACCCACCUUCCCAGGUGAGUGAAAACUGAACCCAGAUUGAAGGUGCAAAUCAAAAUGAUUUUAUUUAGGGAAACAAACACAACUGGGAACCAAGGGGAUAAACAGAGAGAGAGCAGUAAAAUAACUCAGUGGUUUUGAACCAGUUGGGCUUGAAGCCCGGCUCAGCCUCAGCUCAUGUACGACCCUUAACAAGCUAUGAGUAUCUAUAAUAAAGUCCGUUUUUAUACUUGCAGGUUGAUGUAAAUAGCUCAUGAUUGGACAGCAGACAGCUGUUCUCGACCCAGGUUAUUGCAGCAGCCGUUAGGUUCCGGACCUUCUGGUGCUGAAGGUGGUGUCUAGCAGGAGGAAUACAGAACCCGAUGGAGCAGGUGGAACAGCUCAGGACACUCCUUGAUGAUCUGCAGAUAUGUGAAUAGUUGGAAUAGCCAAGAUAGCAUCUGUUCAUCAUUUUAAAAAGCAACAACAAAAACCCUGUUAUUUUGUAAGUUAAGUUUGAAGAUGAAAACUGUUGUUGGAAUAUGUAAACAUGUUUGUGUGCAUGAUGUGGACCACCAUUUUAAUUUAACUUAGGCUACUGAAGAACCAGAAGAUGGUAACAGCUUUCAGUCACUAGAUUCCUAGGCUGAAUUAGAGCCAGCAUGCUAGAAGUAAAUGGCUCCAUAUCCCAUCACCUUAUCCUUUCAAUCUUCUAUCUACAGAAUUUUACCUACACCCCUCUAUUUUUGGGGGUGGGAAAGAGCUGUGAACUAUUUUAGGACCAAAUUUCUAAAAGGUAUAGGUCCACUUGCACAUGCUAAAUAUAAAUGUAUGCAUGUGAUGUAUUUAUAGUUAUUGCAGUUAUGCACACAACUAGGUAGAUGGAUGCCCAACUUCCUGUUCUCAAGCAGUUACUCAGUUUGCACACAUCAGUACAGUAACUGCAUAUAAAUUGUGUGCAUACCUGUAUUGCAUGAAAUCCCACCUCUUAAAAAUAUGAGCCUUAAAGCAAAAUAAACUUUAUAACAAUGGUUUACAGAUUAGAAUAGUAGAUUGGGCUCAGAUUCCUAUUGUUCAGGAACUUGGUUUCAAUAAUUUAGUUUAACUAGCGGUUCUUAAACAUAUUCCUGUUCAUAUAUAAAAUAUUCUAUGUCAGUGGUUUCAAACUUUUUCAUUUGCGGACCCCUAAAAUGCUUUCAGAUAAACUCCAAACUUUUACUAAAAACUAGUUAAAGCAUUCGUGGAAUGCAGAAAGUAAUAGACAGAUAAACUCUAAUAUUAUAUUGAAUAAGUUACAGUCCAGAAUCAGAAAAAGACUUUCCUUUCAUUCCUUUUAAAUAUACAUUUAAAAAAAUUUAAAAUAGUAAAAAAUGUACAACUGACAGAAUUUCACGUCAAAUUUGCAGAACUGACAACUUUGAUAUACAGUACACUAAAAAGACUAAGAAUGUUUAAUAAGCAUUAAUAACUCUGCCUUUUCACUCUCAACUUAAAUUAAUGUUCCAGUAUAUAUUAUUAAUAUUUCAAUAGAAGCUUUGUACAGGUACGCAUUUUUGUUGUUACAAACAGGAUAAUUAGAGCAUUGCAUGCCUAUAGUUUCAUUGCAUUACUCAGGAAUAAUAUUGUCACUAUCUAUUGUAAUUUGUAACUGAAAUACAAAGAAGAAAUGUUACCUCUUAAUGUGUUAUUAUCCUGAU